CCAAUAGCGUAUAUUAAAGUUGUUGCAGUUAAAAAGCUCGUAGUUGAACUUCAGGCCUGGCUGGGCGGUCCGCCUUCCGGGCGAGUACUGCCUGUGGUCGGGUCCUACCUUCUGGCGAAGCGUCAUGGCCUUAACCGGCCGUGGCGGGGAACCAGGACUUUUACUGUGAAAAAAUUAGAGUGUUCAAAGCAGGCACGCGCUUGAAUGCAUUAGCAUGGAAUAAUGGAAUAGGACAGUGGUUCUAUUUGUUGGUUUCUAGGACCGUUGUAAUGAUUAAUAGGGAUAGUUGGGGGAAUUAGUAUUCAAUUGUCAGAGGUGAAAUUCUUGGAUUUAUUGAAGACUAACUACUGCGAAAGCAUUUGCCAAGGAUGUUUUCAUUAAUCAAGAACGAAAGUUAGGGGAUCGAAGACGAUCAGAUACCGUCGUAGUCUUAACCAUAAACUAUGCCGACUAGGAAUCGGGCGAUGUUGACAAAAUGACGCGCUCGGCACCUCAUG
rnacentral:rRNA from 1 species